rnacentral:sRNA from 1 species
UAUUAGAUAUCCUUGAUCAUGCGACAUAUAAUGGUCACUAUAAAUUUGUAACACCCCAAAAUUCAAUAAAAUUUUGAGAGUAUUACUAAAAAUAAUAUAAUAAAAAUAUUAACAUUUCAUAAUGUAUAACGUUUAAAAACUCAUUAAAACUCCAAAUCUCGAAAGCAAAAUAAUUUAAAUGUAAAAAAUCUAAGGGGAUUUGCAAAAGUACUAUUAUUUACUACCAUUUUGCAACAAUACACUUUUCUGUUAUCCAUUUUUAAAAAUACCCCUUCUCUUGAACAAAAUGACCAAAUUACCCCCAUCUAAUGAGAACAUCUAAUUAGAAAAUAAAAUUUCUCGCCAGAUUUUGACUCUCUUGUUUUUUUUGUUGUUUUUUUAGAGACAAAAUGUUGAGAUUGUAACUAGUAUAUGAUUGUAAAAUCGAUUAAUUUUGGUCAACAUUCUAGGUAAGUCAAACCGGAUCAGAUAUUAUUGGUUUACUGAUCAGUUCAAUUAGAGGCGUAGUUUUAAGAACAAAUCCGAAAGCAUAUGUAGUUUUAUUGAGAUUAAAGUUUUUUGGUGGUUUUUUCAGAGGCACAAAGUUUGGGAUGGAAUGUUGAGAUUGUAUCUAGGAUAGGAUUGAAAAUUCAGUCAACCCUAUUUUUUUCCUCGACAAAAAGUUUUUUUUCCAGCCAAAAAUGCAUUUAAAAUUCGUGUAACUUUUUUAAGAACCCUUUCAAAACUCGUAGAAAAACCUU